GGCGUAGUUCAGUUGGUUAGAGCGUCAGAUUGUGGUUCUGAAUGUCGUGGGUUCGAGUCCCACCCC
rnacentral:tRNA from 1 species